rnacentral:rRNA from 1 species
UACGUAGGGUGCAAGCGUUGUCCGGAAUUAUUGGGCGUAAAGAGCUCGUAGGCGGUCUGUCGCGUCUGCUGUGAAAACUCGGGGCUUAACCCCGGGCCUGCAGUGGGUACGGGCAGACUAGAGUGCGGUAGGGGAGACUGGAAUUCCUGGUGUAGCGGUGAAAUGCGCAGAUAUCAGGAGGAACACCGGUGGCGAAGGCGGGUCUCUGGACCACAACUGACGCUGAGGCGCGAAAGCUAGGGGAGCAAACAGG